UGCCGUCAUGUGCUUCCGGUACCCCAGAG
rnacentral:piRNA from 1 species